CUGUCCUAAAGGUAUCCGCCCGUAUAUAUUGGCCGCAUAGUCGACUAUGACGUCAGCACCUAUUCAGAAACUGCGGAGUACACUUAACUCGCUUAUACACAGCAAAUGGCGUGUAGGGCCUUACCGUAGUUGCGCAAGUUCGCGCCCAUGAUCAUCCCCCAGUUUGAUACGAGUGACGUCUGUAGCCAGAUCUGAUUCCCAGGCAAAGCCGCCAGACUAGACCAUGGACAUACACCCGCCAUACCGGGUGGAAGGAAAUAUAACCUGUGGGUAAAGCUUGAAUACGACGCAUUUCCGAGCAGCGCCUUUGCUCCGCUGUCAGCGUUUGAAGUCGCGUAGAAUAUGUUACAGGUGGUUAACACACCUCCUGCGCAGCUGCCUUUGACGGUGACCACAUUGAAUGCCGUGACAUUCAAGUUAAACUUGCCAUAUGAGCACUUUGUGUACCUCCAUGCGACACCACCACUGCCGUCACCCUUGGGCCCCAGGAAGGAGGAACGCACAGUUGUUUCGUUAAGUGAUGCACGCAGACCGCAAUCAGCAUAAUCCAGGAUAAUUACAAGCAAGCGCUGGUAGAUCGUUCCAGUGUCUGGCAAGAGCAGGGGCUGUGGGGAUAAGAUGAGGGUGCUCUCCCCAGCAGCUGGGUUGCAGACGCCAAAGACGUCGAUCUCACAAGACUGCGAGAAAGGAAAAGAUAUAGGGCGUGAUAGGUAAAGAGGACUGGGCAAAGAUUGGCUUCUAAUUGUUGCCCUAAGAGCGAUUU
rnacentral:lncRNA from 1 species